AAAGAAAAAAAAAAGUAAAUAAAAAAAAUAAUCUCAUUCUAUCAGCCGCCCGACCCCCCUCUUCUUCUUCUUCCCGUUUCACCCAAACCCUAGCCGCGGCCUACCAUCGCCGCCGGCCUGCGUCCCGCCUACCACUAUUGAAGCCAGCCGCCUUCUCCACGAAGAGCUUUCGUUUUCCCAGUUCGUUCAGCGCCCCAAACCGGUCGCAUCUAGCCACACCGCCGAGGAUCCCCAGCCGGUUCGGGUCGCCCACCUUUGCGCGCCGCCGUUCGCGGAUCUGAAGCCGACGUGGGUUUCUGUCGACAGCCGUCUCCUCCUUUGGCGUUCACAGGACAGCGCCGCCCAAGCCGUUCAGCCCCCGUGCAGACCCGUUUCUGCCACCGCGCCCAGCCACAAGUCGACGCACACAACCGUCCUAGCUUCCGACCGGUGCAGCCACUGUUUCAGUCGGCAUUAGACUGGGUUUCGUCGUCGUUCGGGUCAGCACCGUUGAGUUCGCCGACCGCCGCUGCCUAUGUUGAGUUAGAUUAAAUCGAGUUUUGGAGUUUGUCUUGGAUCAAACCACAAUUUUAGGUUGAUUUAAGUGUGUUAAAAAAAAUCUCUACCAAGUCGAAGGUAAGUGGUACUAUUACCGGUGCCUUCGUGUCAAGGUAAGUGGUACUAUUACUUAAUAGACUAUUGAAGCAUGAUUUUGUCAUUAUGUUUUAGAAUUAUUAUGAGGAGUACUAAAAUUAUGUAUGUGAUGCAUGAAUAGACCAAUAGGGCAGUUUAACGUCUGUACAUACCCGAGUUAUUUUUCAUGUUUGACGGUGUGCCUACGAGCUGCUAGACAUGAGUGAGUCAACGGGUUCACGUUCAUUCAUGUAUCAAGGCAAGAUAGUAGCUGUAUGAGCCAUGGACCAUCAUUCUCUACUCAUGGAGGAUACUCUGACAAGAGGAAUUCAGAGGAAUCCGUGACAGUACCAAAGGAACUAGAAUCAGAAUGCGGGCUUCCGCAUUUGAAUUGUACCCCGGAUCGAACGAUUUAAGAUCUUGAGAUAAUGGCAGAAUAGUUUCCUAUAUACUUAAGCAGUCAUGUUAUUUUAUUUUAUAAACCUAGGAGGUGGGGUUGUUACACUAUCAAUAUUUUUUUUUCUCUUUCUAUAAAUAGUUUGACAAUUUUUCUA